UGAGAUUGGGCCUAUCCAAAAACAGAAUGGACUGCCUCAAUCAACUAACAAGCCAUAUUGCUACUUGCUAGAUUAGGUCUUCAAGCAAGGACUGGAAUGAUAACUAACUGAUUGUGUCCUAGAGGGGGUUCUUUUUCAGGUAGGGUUUGGACUGAAGCUGAUUCUGGGAUUCUGAGACUCUGGAAUCUUUAAUUUUCAUAGAGACACACAUUAUAAUGAACUGUUUUAAUAUGUGAACAACAGUAAAAUGUACUUAAGUGAAGAGAGAUGGUCAGGAAGAAGCUCUAAAUCACACAAUUUAUUUACAAAAUGAAGAUCUUCAUAGGCAGUCCCAGUAAGAUUUUUAAAAGAGUUAGACGCUUAAUGUCUGAGAAUCUGGACAGUUUCCAAAGGGCUCUUAUCCUAGGAGCUUCAAGGGACCUAAACAGUAGGUCCUGAACAGGGAAAUAAACCUGAGAUGACCAAUGAGGGCUAUGAGGGACUAUGGACAGAUCCCUGAACCUGAGGCUUUCAGUAUCUCCUUUUUUUUUAUUAGGAAGGCGAAAAUAUCAUACGCAAAGUCAAGAGCUCUAUAAAUUCUGUGUCUAAAACCAGGCUUGGACUUGGUUAAGACUGUGGUCAGCCUUUUUCCAAAGGAAAGAAAAAGGGCUGCCGCAGAAGGCUUUUGAGAGUGGGCUAUGAAGCUUCUUGGACAAGCAGUUGCUCUUACCAAACAGUGUGAUGAGGUAGAGAUUGGUCGCUCAUCAGAGAUGCAGAGGUCUGUGCUGCAGGAGAAGAAUUGGAGCUGAUGACCUCUCCAUCCCUGGCUGAGGUCCCAUGAUUAUUCCUCUUGAGGAUCCUAGAAGAAAUGAUGCAGGAUUAACAGUGAAGCUUUUUCCUCUCUAAAGACAGCAGAUCCAUGGUCUUCUUUUUAAGCCAUUCUUCCCUUAUAUACAGGAAGGAAGGAAUGUAAGACAAAGGACCACGGACACUUUGCCCAUCAAAUGACCUGAUCAAUAUGAAGAGAUAGAUGGGGAGAAGACCGAAUUUAACAUCCAGCACAGUCGACUCCAG